CGGGAGACACACGGCGGGUGCUAACGUCCGUCGUGAAGAGGGAAACAACCCAGACCGCCAGCUAAGGUCCCAAAGUCAUGGUUAAGUGGGAAACGAUGUGGGAAGGCCCAGACAGCCAGGAUGUUGGCUUAGAAGCAGCCAUCAUUUAAAGAAAGCGUAAUAGCUCACUGGUCGAGUCGGCCUGCGCGGAAGAUGUAACGGGGCUAAACCAUGCACCGAAGCUGCGGCAGCGACGCUUAUGCGUUGUUGGGUAGGGGAGCGUUCUGUAAGCCUGCGAAGGUGUGCUGUGAGGCAUGCUGGAGGUAUCAGAAGUGCGAAUGCUGACAUAAGUAACGAUAAAGCGGGUGAAAAGCCCGCUCGCCGGAAGACCAAGGGUUCCUGUCCAACGUUAAUCGGGGCAGGGUGAGUCGACCCCUAAGGCGAGGCCGAAAGGCGUAGUCGAUGGGAAACAGGUUAAUAUUCCUGUACUUGGUGUUACUGCGAAGGGGGGACGGAGAAGGCUAUGUUGGCCGGGCGACGGUUGUCCCGGUUUAAGCGUGUAGGCU
rnacentral:rRNA from 1 species